rfam:Gossypium arboreum cultivar AKA8401 contig_71156_1, whole genome shotgun sequence.
AACCCAUGGUGAGGGCACCUUCUCAAUAAGUCUCGAUAUUGUUCCCAUGCGUCAUAAAGAGUUUCUAAAUCCAUCUGCACAAAAGAAGAGAUAUCAUUCCUUAGUUU